AACGGUAACAGGAAUCAGCUUGCUGAUUUGCUGACGAGUGGCGGACGGGUGAGUAAUGUCUGGGAAACUGCCUGAUGGAGGGGGAUAACUACUGGAAACGGUAGCUAAUACCGCAUAACGUCGCAAGACCAAAGAGGGGGACCUUCGGGCCUCUUGCCAUCGGAUGUGCCCAGAUGGGAUUAGCUAGUAGGUGGGGUAACGGCUCACCUAGGCGACGAUCCCUAGCUGGUCUGAGAGGAUGACCAGCCACACUGGAACUGAGACACGGUCCAGACUCCUACGGGAGGCAGCAGUGGGGAAUAUUGCACAAUGGGCGCAAGCCUGAUGCAGCCAUGCCGCGUGUAUGAAGAAGGCCUUCGGGUUGUAAAGUACUUUCAGCGGGGAGGAAGGGAGUAAAGUUAAUACCUUUGCUCAUUGACGUUACCCGCAGAAGAAGCACCGGCUAACUCCGUGCCAGCAGCCGCGGUAAUACGGAGGGUGCAAGCGUUAAUCGGAAUUACUGGGCGUAAAGCGCACGCAGGCGGUUUGUUAAGUCAGAUGUGAAAUCCCCGGGCUCAACCUGGGAACUGCAUCUGAUACUGGCAAGCUUGAGUCUCGUAGAGGGGGGUAGAAUUCCAGGUGUAGCGGUGAAAU
rnacentral:rRNA from 1 species